GUGGGGAAUAUUGGACAAUGGGCGAAAGCCUGAUCCAGCCAUGCCGCGUGUGUGAAGAAGGUCUUCGGAUUGUAAAGCACUUUAAGUUGGGAGGAAGGGCAUUAACCUAAUACGUUAGUGUUUUGACGUUACCGACAGAAUAAGCACCGGCUAACUUCGUGCCAGCAGCCGCGGUAAUACGAAGGGUGCAAGCGUUAAUCGGAAUUACUGGGCGUAAAGCGCGCGUAGGUGGUUCGUUAAGGUGGAUGUGAAAGCCCCGGGCUCAACCUGGGAACUGCAUCCAAAACGGGCGAGCUAGAGUACGGUAGAGGGUGGUGGAAUUUCCUGUGUAGCGGUGAAAUGCGUAGAUAUAGGAAGGAACACCAGUGGCGAAGGCGACCACCUGGACUGAUACUGACACUGAGGUGCGAAAGCGUGGGGAGCAAACAGGAUUAGAUACCCCUGUAGUCC
rnacentral:rRNA from 1 species